UGUGGUUAGACCAGGGCUGAUGUUUAGGCUACAGUGUGAUAGACCAGGGCUGAUGUUAGGCUACAUUAUGAUUAGAGCAGGGGCUGAUGUUUAGGCUACAGUGUGGUUAGACCAGGCUGAUGUUUGGCUACAGGUGUGAUUAGACCAGGGCUGAUGUUUAGGCUACAGUGUGAUUAUACCAGGGCUGAUGUUAGACCAGGGCUCAUGUUUCAGACUACAGUGUGAUUAGACCAGGGUGAGUUUAGACUACAGUGUGAUUAACCAGGGCUGAUGUUUAGGCUACAGUGUGGUUAGACCAGGCUGAUGUUUAGGCUACAGUGUGAUUUUAGGACCAGUGGUGAGUUUAGCGUACAUUAAUACA
rnacentral:lncRNA from 1 species